CAAAGGACUACUUUGCAUAUUGCAACUUUAGAGUUCAUACAUGACAUGUAUGUUCGAACUCUCUUUUGAUCGUUGUUCAGUGUACUCGAUUACCUUUUUCGAGCACCUAUGUGUUUGUCUUAGUGUCCAACACCAAAUGACUUGAGACUAGUUCAUACUCACGCUUGAGUCAACAUAACACAUACUAACCUUAGCGGAUUGUCAAU
rnacentral:lncRNA from 1 species